GAUGAACGCUGGCGGCGUGCCUAAUACAUGCAAGUCGAGCGAACGGACGAGAAUUUUGUUCUUGUGAUGAGAGCGGCGGGCGGGUGAGUAACAUGUGGAUACCCCAUCUAUAAGUCUGGUAACAUUGCGGGAAAGCGGCGCUAACACGAGAAUAUUUUUUGAAUCAUAUUCGACAACUGAAAGAUACGGUCUUCCUGCAAUUAAUAGAUGGAUCCGCGCUGCAUUAGCUAGUUGGUAAGGUAACGGCUUACCAAGGCAACGAUGCGUAGCCGACCUGAGAGGGUGAUCGGCCACACUGGAACUGAGACACGGUCCAGACUCCUACGGGAGGCAGCAGUAGGGAAUCUUCCGCAAUGGGCGAAAGCCUGACGGAGCAACGCCGCGUGAGUGAUGAAGGUCUUCGGAUCGUAAAACUCUGUUAUUAGGGAAGAACAUAUGUGUAAGUAACUGUGCACAUCUUGACGGUACCUAAUCAGAAAGCCACGGCUAACUACGUG
rnacentral:rRNA from 1 species